rnacentral:rRNA from 1 species
CCUACGGGAGGCAGCAGUCGAGAAUCAUUCACAAUGGGGGAAACCCUGAUGGUGCGACGCCGCGUGGGGGAAUGAAGGUCUUCGGAUUGUAAACCCCUGUCAUGUGGGAGCAAAUUAAAAAGAUAGUACCACAAGAGGAAGAGACGGCUAACUCUGUGCCAGCAGCCGCGGUACUACAGAGGUCUCAAGCGUUGUUCGGAAUCACUGGGCGUAAAGCGUGCGUAGGCUGUUUCGUAAGUCGUGUGUGAAAGGCGCGGGCUCAACCCGCGGACGGCACAUGAUACUGCGAGACAAGAGUAAUGGAGGGGGAACCGGAAUUCUCGGUGUAGCAGUGAAAUGCGUAGAUAUCGAGAGGAACACUCGUGGCGAAGGCGGGUUCCUGGACAUUAACUGACGCUGAGGCACGAAGGCCAGGGGAGCGAAAGGGAUUAGAUACCCCAGUAGUC